UUUCAGGAUUACACCUAUAGAAAGAUGGAAACUGAGAAGGCUAAAAGACAGGAAUCCUCACAUGCUAUGGAUUGAAUAUUUGUGUUCCUCCCAAAAAUUUGUAUGUUAAAAUCCUAACCACUAAGGUAAUGUGAUUAGGAAGUGGGAUCUUUGAGAGGUGGUUAGGUCAUGAGAGUGGGACCCUAAAGAAUGGGAUUAGUGUCCUUGUAAACACAACCUAACUUCUUUGUCCACAUUAUGCCCUAGAAGAUUGCCAUCAAUAAGGAAGCUAGCUCUAAUCAGACACCAAAUCACCUGGCAUCAUGAUGUUGAUCUUUCCAGCCUUCAGAACUGUGAAAGACAAAUUUCUUUUGUGUAUGAGUCACUCAGUCUAUGGUAUUUUGUUAUAGCAGCCCUAACAGACUAAGACAUUAUCUCGCCUAAUGACCUUGUCAUAAAAUCACUUUCAAGUCAAAAUCUCAAAUUAGAUGUGUUUUUUAAUCAUCCUGUAGAUCUAAUUGUUCACCAAAUCUGGCUGAUUUCCUUUGUAAACCUUGCUUAAAUUUACAUGCUAUCCUCUACCUGUAGAAACAGCAAUUGAGAUCAGGAAUAUAGCAAACCUCACCUGGACUAGUCUCUGAGUGAGAAUCAAAUAGUUGUCCUCAAUAUCAUUUUUUUUUCUUUCUCCCUCAGCAACAGAAACUGAAUUUUAGCUGGGUAUGUAGCCACACAAAAUAAAAUGUUCAUUUUCUAGCUUCGCUGACAGCUAGAUGAAGCCAAAUUCUUGAAGCCAAAUUCUUGACAAAAAAAGAUAUAAUUAGAAAUGGUGUAAGCAAAUUUUGGGACAUGUCCUUAAAGGGGAGGUGACAUACUUUUCUCAUUCUUUCUUUCUACUGGCUAGAAUACACAUAUGAUGGAUGGAAAUGGAACAACAAUCUUGGAUCAUAACAUAAAUGACAAGUGUUGAGGAUGGUAAUCUAAUGAUACAGAAAAAGUCUAAGUCUUCGUUGGUUGAGGAACCACUUUGAUAACCCUAGACUAAAAAUGUUUAAACUUCUUUUUGUUUCAAUUACUGUUUAUAUUUAAUCUUUUUCAUUGGUAGCUAAACAAAGUUGUAAAAAUCAGAGCCCCUUGACAGUUUUCUCUGCGUCACUCUUAUUUCUCUCCUGAAGAGAGAAAUGCUGCCAUAGCCUGUGAUUUCUGAAAUAUAAAUGUGAUCAUGCUACUCUUAGGUUUAACAUGUAUCACCUGCAAAAAAGUCCACAAUUAUUAUCAAAGAGAUAAAGGUCCACUGUAACAUAGUUCCUAUCUCUUUUGCCAAUCUCACUCCCACUACAGCACACUCAUACCCUUCCCUUGGCCACUCUUUGUUUUCUAAACAUACUAUGCUCUUUCUUUAUUCCCACCUUUUCUUAACCCUGCAGCAAGAUAAUCCUGUUGAAACUUAACUUAGAUUCUGUCACUCUUGAGUUCAAAAUGUCCAGCGUCCUCCCAUCUCACUUAGAGUAAAAGUAAAAGUACUUGCAAAGGCCCUCACCUUAAGCCUUCUCUAAUUUAGGAGUCCAUUAUAUCUUCUUCAGCUUGUUUGCCUACUCUCUUCUAGGUGCUCUUUGCCAUCUUUCUGUUCUUUGAACAUGCAAGAUACUCUCCAACUCCAGGGUCUUUGUACUGCUAGUUCUUUCAUCUAGAAUGCUCUUUCUUAGAUAUGUUUCCUGUCAUAUCACCUGUUAAGCAAGGUUUUCCCUGGCUACCUUAUCUGAAAUUAUGAUCUCCCUUCCCUUAACCAACUCAAGUACUCCUUAUCUCACUUCAUUAUUUCCAGCACAUAUCACUUUAUCAUCCCAUGUAAUUUACAUUGUUCAUGAUCUAACUCUUUCAACCCUUCCAAAUAUAAGCCUCAUUAUAAAAACAGAUU
rnacentral:lncRNA from 1 species